AACGAACGCUGGCGGCAUGCCUAACACAUGCAAGUCGAACGAGACCUUCGGGUCUAGUGGCGCACGGGUGCGUAACGCGUGGGAACCUGCCCUUAGGUUCGGAAUAACUCCCCGAAAGGGGUGCUAAUACCGGAUACUGUCUUCGGACCAAAGAUUUAUCGCCUUUGGAUGGGCCCGCGUUGGAUUAGCUAGUUGGUAGGGUAAAAGCCUACCAAGGCGACGAUCCAUAGCUGGUCUGAGAGGAUGAUCAGCCACACUGGGACUGAGACACGGCCCAGACUCCUACGGGAAGCAGCAGUGGGGAAUAUUGGACAAUGGGCGAAAGCCUGAUCCAGCAAUGCCGCGUGAGUGAUGAAGGCCUUAGGGUUGUAAAGCUCUUUUACCCGGGAUGAUAAUGACAGUACCGGGAGAAUAAGCUCCGGCUAACUCCGUG
rnacentral:rRNA from 1 species